UCGGCCUCCUGGGAGCGCGACGUCCGCGGCCCCGGCCUCGCCGCCAUCCGGGCCUUCCUCGCCGACCAGGCCUCCCGCCGUCACGGCGAUGACGCCACCGCGGCUACCAAGCCGCCGACGCCGCCGCUGCUGAUGCGGCUGCCACGGAUGCAAUGCUGCGACAUGAUGGUGUGAGCCGCCGCCGCUGCUGCUGCUUUUCCGGAUGGGGGAGAUGGACGGAAGGCUUUCGGAGGCGGAGGGUUUUGAUCUUUUGGAAGGCCGCCGAAUUUUCAGAGGGUCCCGGCGGCGCCCGCUCUCCGACACCGCCCGGUGGGGCCACGAGCACGUAGAUCGACCGCAGAGACAGGAGAGAGAGAUAGGCGAGUGUAAAAAGUGACAGCAAGAGAAUUGGUUGUGUGUAAGUUAUUACUGAUUACUGAAGGACGAGUGAGUGAGUGAGUGAAUUCUAUUUUUUUUUUGCGGAAGGAGGGAAUUCUUUACUUAACUGCGCCAGACACUGUAUGUAGUCGUCAUGUCAUAGUACUCCUACGUACGUACUCCUUCACUAAUCCACUCCACUCCGUUCAAAAUUUGAAAUAUAUGGGAUGGGACCCUGGCCUACACUAGACACGGGUACAGUCUAGAACCUCCCAAAGGUGCAGCUAAUCCGCACCGGAUCCAUCC
rnacentral:lncRNA from 1 species